UGGGGAAUUUUGGACAAUGGGGGAAACCCUGAUCCAGCCAUCCCGCGUGUGCGAUGAAGGCCUUCGGGUUGUAAAGCACUUUUGGCAGGAAAGAAACGUCGCGGGUUAAUACCCCGCGGAACUGACGGUACCUGCAGAAUAAGCACCGGCUAACUACGUGCCAGCAGCCGCGGUAAUACGUAGGGUGCAAGCGUUANNCGGAAUUACUGGGCGUAAAGCGUGCGCAGGCGGUUCGGAAAGAAAGAUGUGAAAUCCCAGAGCUUAGCUUUGGAACUGCAUUUUUAACUACCGGGCUAGAGUGUGUCAGAGGGAGGUGGAAUUCUGCGUGUAGCAGUNAAAUGCGUAGAUAUGCGGAGGAACACCGAUGGCGAAGGCAGCCUCCUGGGAUAACACUGACGCUCAUGCACGAAAGCGUGGGGAGCAAACAGGAUUAGAUACCCUGGUAGUCCACGCCCUAAACGAUGUCAACUAGCUGUUGGGGUCUUCGGACCUUGGUAGCGCAGCUAACGCGUGAAGUUGACCGCCUGGGGAGUACGGUCGCAAGAUUAAAAGCUUAAAGGGAAUUGACGGGGUCAUAGCUG
rnacentral:rRNA from 1 species